GUCUAUGGCCAUGCCAACCUGAACAAGCCUGAUCUGGUCUGAUCUCAGAAGUUAAGCAGGAUCGGGCCUGGUUAGUACUUGAAUGGGAGACCACCUAGGAAGACUAGGUGCUGUAGGCA
ensembl:rRNA 5S_rRNA 5S ribosomal RNA